rnacentral:rRNA from 1 species
GCCGCGUGCAGGAAGACUGCCCUAUGGGUUGUAAACUGCUUUUGUAUAGGAAGAAACCUUUCCUCGUGAGGAAAAUUGACGGUACUAUACGAAUAAGGAUCGGCUAACUCCGUGCCAGCAGCCGCGGUAAUACGGAGGAUCCAAGCGUUAUCCGGAAUCAUUGGGUUUAAAGGGUCCGUAGGCGGGUUUAUAAGUCAGUGGUGAAAGUCUGCAGCUUAACUGUAGAACUGCCAUUGAUACUGUAGAUCUUGAAUCAUUAUGAAGUGGUUAGAAUGUGUAGUGUAGCGGUGAAAUGCAUAGAUAUUACACAGAAUACCGAUUGCGAAGGCAGAUCACUAAUAAUGUAUUGACGCUGAUGGACGAAAGCGUAGGUAGCGAACAGGAUUAGAUACCCUGGUAGUCUACGCCGUAAACGAUGGUUACUAGCUGUCCGGCCUAAUUGAGGGCUGGGUGGUUAAGCGAAAGUGAUAAGUAACCCACCUGGGGAGUACGUUCGCAAGAAUGAAACUCAAAGGAAUUGACGGGGGCCCGCACAAGCGGUGGAGCAUGUGGUUUAAUUCGAUGAUACGCGAGGAACCUUACCAGGGCUUAAAUGCAGUCUGACGUACUUGGAAACAGGUAUUUCUUCGGACAGAUUGCAAGGUGCUGCAUGGUUGUCGUCAGCUCGUGCCGUGAGGUGUCAGGUUAAGUCCUAUAACGAGCGCAACCCCUGUGGUUAGUUGCCAGCACGUAAUGGUGGGAACUCUAGCCAGACUGCCGGUGCAAACCGUGAGGAAGGUGGGG